GAAAAGAUCGAAUAGCUAACGUUUAUUUUUAAACUCAAUAAGACUUAUAUCGCCCUUUGCCAGCGCUAAAACGAAAAUGAAAGUGCGCGGCGUCACUAUAUAAAAUAAACUCUGCUAGACUGACAUCAUUACAGACCUAGAGAAUCGAACGUUCACUUUAUUUUAUUGCACUUGAUAUUAAAAGUACUAAAAUGCGAGACUCAGAUGUAAAAAUCGAUCUUACAUUUGAAAAUGGCAAUAAAAGACCUGCAACUUCAAAAUGUGCUGCCCGCUGUCAAGUAUUGAUUGGUUUAAUUAUCGCCACAGCUGACCUGGUAUUUGAUUGGGUAUUCUUCCAUGACGUCGAUACCUCUAACAAAGGACCCUGGGGUCCCAUUAUUUGGUUAAUUUUACUUUUCUGUGUGGUUGGGACGUUGACAUGGGUGGUUGAGAUGUUCAACCAUUGUUUUAAUUGUAUGAAUAGCGACUUUCUCUCUACUGUUUGUGUGUGGGUAGAAGAUGUCCCCCAGAUUAUUUUAAGCCUAACAGCUGCCAUAAAACUGAAAGAGCCUGUGUUUGCGAUACAGUGGUUUAAAAUUGUACUGGUUGUGAUAAAUUUGGUCUACCUUCUAGCGACUCUCUUUAAAGGCUGUUGUGAGAAGGAAUCGCGAAGAAGCAAAAUUUGUAUGAAAAUUGGUGUGUUUAUAGAGAUUGUAGUUGCUGUUAUUUUAGCUAUAUAUGGAUUUAGAAAUUAAACUAAUACAAAUUAUUUUUACCUAUUCUUUUGCUUUAACUACAGUUGUGUUUUUUAUUUUCAAAACAUUUUAUAAAACUUCUGUUAUUAAUCUUUUACUAAGUAUAUUAUUGUAAUCUUAAAUUGUACAUCAAAAUAUAAAAAGAAACCUUGGGAUGUAUCAGUUUUUGUACUACAUUUAAAUAAAACAUCUUUGUUCUGUUUUCACUAUUUACCUAAACGCAUAUCACACUGUGAAAAAUGUAGCUAAUCAAACGCUGAACUUUUUUUUAAUGAAAAUGGGUUAUGGCAAGCUGCUCUUGGUUAGCCAGAACCAAAAAGAGUUAAUUGACAAAAAUGACGACACGUUUCGUUUUUUCGUCCACACCUCUCUCCCAUUCGAUAUACAGUGUCAGCCCCAAAGGCCCGACCACCUUCCAGUCCAAAAUGAAAUCACAUUUCAACUUACACCACCCUCCCCCUUCUCAAAUUGCACUUACUUAAAACAAAAUUUCAAAAAGUGAUUGAUUUUGAAGAUACGACCUGAUCGUAGUGAUCAUUUGAUUUAUCUCAUAACCAUUUAUACACAAGUCUUAAAAAUGCGAAAGAACUGCUAAAGUUAAUUUAGAAUUUUUUAAACAUGAAACAGAGUAACUUUAUACUUUU